GUGCUUGUGGUGUGGCGGAGCGUUAUCCCGAUCGUCUUGAUACCAAGGAAAUCGGGUUAGGUCAAGACAUGGUGCACCGGCGGUAAACGGGAGGCUCCAGGACACUGUGAAAGGCUCUGCACUUGGAAUGGUCAACGGGGACUGUCUUGUGUCAAGGACAUCUGCCUGAAAGCAUUGGGUGUUUGAUAUGCCGAGGAGAAUCUGGCUGAAGAAAAUAUAUGGCCCUCUCAAGUGGAUUCAGCUCGUCCGACAAGGACCGUGUCAUCGCCUGGAUUCCAAGGCAGACCACCACGUGCUGCUUCACUAUUGGAAACCAUCGGGUACACUAGCGACACCGGAUCAUCAAUCCUUCAAAAAGGCCUGCCCACGUCCAGUCAAGCGGGAUUUGUGGUCAAGUGUUGAACUCUACCUCUGAACAUCAUUCCGU